rnacentral:rRNA from 1 species
GGUUAAGCGACUAAGCGUACACGGUGGAUGCCCUGGCAGUCAGAGGCGAUGAAGGACGUGCUAAUCUGCGAAAAGCGACGGCGAGGUGAUAUGAACCCCUGACCCGUCGAUGUCCGAAUGGGGAAACCCAGUGCAAUCCGUUGCACUAUCGUUAACUGAAUACAUAGGUUAACGAGGCGAACCGGGGGAACUGAAACAUCUAAGUACCCCGAGGAAAAGAAAUCAACCGAGAUUCCCCCAGUAGCGGCGAGCGAACGGGGAGCAGCCCGGAGUCUGAAUCAGCUUGUGUGUUAGUGGAACGGUCUGGAAAGUCCGACGGUACAGGGUGAUAGUCCCGUACACGAAAGCACACUUGCUGUGAACUCGAAGAGUAGGGCGGGACACGUGGUAUCCUGUCUGAAUAUGGGGGGACCAUCCUCCAAGGCUAAAUACUCCUGACUGACCGAUAGUGAACCAGUACCGUGAGGGAAAGGCGAAAAGAACCCCGGCGAGGGGAGUGAAAAAGAACCUGAAACCGUGUACGUACAAGCAGUGGGAGCCUCUUUUAUGGGGUGACUGCGUACCUUUUGUAUAAUGGGUCAGCGACUUAUAUUCUGUAGCAAGGUUAACCGUAUAGGGGAGCCGAAGGGAAACCGAGUCUUAACUGGGCGUUAAGUUGCAGGGUAUAGACCCGAAACCCGGUGAUCUAGCCAUGGGCAGGUUGAAGGUUGGGUAACACUAACUGGAGGACCGAACCGACUAAUGUUGAAAAAUUAGCGGAUGACCUGUGGCUGGGGGUGAAAGGCCAAUCAAACCGGGAGAUAGCUGGUUCUCCCCGAAAGCUAUUUAGGUAGCGCCUCGUGAACUCAUCUUCGGGGGUAGAGCACUGUUUCGGCUAGGGGGCCAUCCCGGCUUACCAACCCGAUGCAAACUACGAAUACCGAAGAAUGUUAUCACGGGAGACACACGGCGGGUGCUAACGUCCGUCGUGAAGAGGGAAACAACCCAGACCGCCAGCUAAGGUCCCAAAGUCAUGGUUAAGUGGGAAACGAUGUGGGAAGGCACAGACAGCCAGGAUGUUGGCUUAGAAGCAGCCAUCAUUUAAAGAAAGCGUAAUAGCUCACUGGUCGAGUCGGCCUGCGCGGAAGAUGUAACGGGGCUAAACCAUGCACCGAAGCUGCGGCAGCGACGCUUAUGCGUUGUUGGGUAGGGGAGCGUUCUGUAAGCCGUUGAAGGUGUGCUGUGAGGCAUGCUGGAGGUAUCAGAAGUGCGAAUGCUGACAUAAGUAACGAUAAAGCGGGUGAAAAGCCCGCUCGCCGGAAGACCAAGGGUUCCUGUCCAACGUUAAUCGGGGCAGGGUGAGUCGACCCCUAAGGCGAGGCCGAAAGGCGUAGUCGAUGGGAAACAGGUUAAUAUUCCUGUACUUGGUGUUACUGCGAAGGGGGGACGGAGAAGGCUAUGUUAGCCGGGCGACGGUUGUCCCGGUUUAAGCAUGUAGGCGGAGGUUCCAGGUAAAUCCGGUACCUUUUUAACGCUGAGGUGUGAUGACGAGGCACUACGGUGCUGAAGUAACAAAUGCCCUGCUUCCAGGAAAAGCCUCUAAGCAUCAGGUAACACGAAAUCGUACCCCAAACCGACACAGGUGGUCAGGUAGAGAAUACCAAGGCGCUUGAGAGAACUCGGGUGAAGGAACUAGGCAAAAUGGUGCCGUAACUUCGGGAGAAGGCACGCUGAUAUGUAGGUGAAGUCCCUGCGGAUGGAGCUGAAAUCAGUCGAAGAUACCAGCUGGCUGCAACUGUUUAUUAAAAACACAGCACUGUGCAAACACGAAAGUGGACGUAUACGGUGUGACGCCUGCCCGGUGCCGGAAGGUUAAUUGAUGGGGUUAGCGGCAACGCGAAGCUCUUGAUCGAAGCCCCGGUAAACGGCGGCCGUAACUAUAACGGUCCUAAGGUAGCGAAAUUCCUUGUCGGGUAAGUUCCGACCUGCACGAAUGGCGUAAUGAUGGCCAGGCUGUCUCCACCCGAGACUCAGUGAAAUUGAACUCGCUGUGAAGAUGCAGUGUACCCGCGGCAAGACGGAAAGACCCCGUGAACCUUUACUAUAGCUUGACACUGAACACUGGUCCUUGAUGUGUAGGAUAGGUGGGAGGCUUUGAAGCGUGGACGCCAGUCUGCGUGGAGCCGUCCUUGAAAUACCACCCUUUAAUGGCUGGUGUUCUAACGUGGACCCGUUACCCGGGUUGCGGACAGUGUCUGGUGGGUAGUUUGACUGGGGCGGUCUCCUCCCAAAGAGUAACGGAGGAGCACGAAGGUUAGCUAAUCCUGGUCGGACAUCAGGAGGUUAGUGCAAUGGCAUAAGCUAGCUUGACUGCGAGAGUGACGGCUCGAGCAGGUGCGAAAGCAGGUCAUAGUGAUCCGGUGGUUCUGAAUGGAAGGGCCAUCGCUCAACGGAUAAAAGGUACUCCGGGGAUAACAGGCUGAUACCGCCCAAGAGUUCAUAUCGACGGCGGUGUUUGGCACCUCGAUGUCGGCUCAUCACAUCCUGGGGCUGAAGUAGGUCCCAAGGGUAUGGCUGUUCGCCAUUUAAAGUGGUACGCGAGCUGGGUUUAGAACGUCGUGAGACAGUUCGGUCCCUAUCUGCCGUGGGCGCUGGAGAAUUGAGGGGGGCUGCUCCUAGUACGAGAGGACCGGAGUGGACGCAUCACUGGUGUUCGGGUUGUCAUGCCAAUGGCACUGCCCGGUAGCUAAAUGCGGAAGAGAUAAGUGCUGAAAGCAUCUAAGCACGAAACUUGCCCCGAGAUGAGUUCUCCCUGAGACUUUAAGUCUCCUGAAGGAACGUUGAAGACGACGACGUUGAUAGGUCGGGUGUGUAAGCGCAGCGAUGCGUUGAGCUAACCGAUACUAAUGAACCGUGAGGCUUAACCUU